GACCUAAGGAAAAAAGCUGGCAAGCGCCGCAAUACAAGGACCCACCCCCUAAAUCCCAUCUUCUUAAUCCCCCUUUCGUCGAUGUUGCUUCUUCUCCACCCUUUUCACUGACCUUCAAAUAGCAGCUCCACCAUGCUGUUCACCAUCACGCCGCUGCCAGCAACCAAUCCAAACGGAUCAACGGCUUAGUUCCCUCACCUCCCAUUAACACAUACACAUACAAUAACAAAAGAACACAAAAAAAAAGAGUGUGUGAAACACCAGAAAAUCGAAAUGAAACAUAAGUUUCAAUCAUCUUCUUUCUGAUUUCUAUUUCUGUUUUAUUAUGGAAUUCUUUUGAGUUUUCGCUGUUUCGAGCUCGACUAAAACCAUCAUCCGCUCGAGGUCUCGUUUGAGGUUUGGAGCUCAUUUGUGAGAUCUGUUCAGAGGCAAGUAUUGAAGUUUCGAGUUCGUCGAGGUCCGGUAUCGACGAGUCGACGGGAAACAGAUUGAUUCACUGUUUUCAGUUCUUUAAUCAGGUGUGGAUGUACUUACCGGAGUUUGAGCAUGACAGAUACACCAGGAUCACUGCAUUCAUAAGCUGCUCGACGAGCCAUUUUAUAUUUUUAAGUCAAUUGUUCAUGUUUUAUUUUCUAGUCUUGUAUAGUAGUAUCCAGUCUUUUAGGUGAUGUUAGAGUUUGUAAUAGUCUAGUUAUGUUUUCUGAGUCUUUUGUUAUUGUAUUUUUUGCGGUUUUAUAUUUC